rnacentral:tRNA from 1 species
GACUUCUUAGCUCAGUGGUAGAGCGUGAGAUUCCAGCUUUUGGAGGAUCCUCAAGGUCAUCCGUUCAAUCCGGGUAGAGGUCA